ensembl:lncRNA
UGCGUGGUGUUCAGGUUAAAGCAGGGAUUUUCGAUGAGAAAAUACAUGAUUUGGGGGUUAAAUGUGUUUGUUUGUUUGUUUGUUUUAAGAGAAAACUUGUGAUUUUUGAUGAAUUAUGUAUUUUUGAAGUGAAAAUGCGUGAUUUUCAGGUUAGAUCAGGGAUUCUUGAAGAGAAAAUGCAUCAUUGUCGGGUUACAUGGGGGAUUUCCAAAGAGAAAUCGCCUUUUUUUUUUUUUUUUUUCUGGUUAAAUGGGGGAUUCUUGAAGAGAAAUUGCAUUUUUUUC